UACGGAGGGUGCAAGCGUUAUCCGGAUUCACUGGGUUUAAAGGGUGCGUAGGUGGGCUGGUAAGUCAGUGGUGAAAUCUCCAGGCUUAACUUGGAAACUGCCAUUGAUACUAUCAGUCUUGAAUACCGUGGAGGUCAGCGGAAUAUGUCAUGUAGCGGUGAAAUGCUUAGAUAUGACAUAGAACACCAAUUGCGAAGGCAGCUGGCUACACGAUAUUGACACUGAUGACACGAAAGCGU
rnacentral:rRNA from 1 species